rnacentral:rRNA from 1 species
AACGUAGGGGACAAGCGUAAUCCGGAUUUACUGGGCGUAAAGCGCCCGUAGGCGGCCUGACAAGUUGGACGUGAAAGCUCCUGGCUUAACUGGGAGAGGCCGUUCAAAACUGUCAAGCUAGAGUCUGGAAGAGGAGAGCGGAAUUCCCGGUGUAGUGGUGGAAUGCGUAGAGAUCGGGAGGAACACCAGUGGCGAAAGCGGCUCUCUGGUCCAAAACUGACGCUGAGGGGCGAAAGCGUGGGGAGCGAACGGG